rnacentral:lncRNA from 1 species
CUUUUCCCCCUUUUGGAAAAGUUUUGUUUAGCAUGAUUCAGAAUAGUAGUGACUCUUUUAGAAAGAUCAUGGAUAAGUCUCAACAAGUUGAACAAGCUUAUCAACAGUUAACUAGAAGGAAAAGAGAAGGUAACAUUGAGCAAGAAAUGAAAGAAAUUAUAGAAUGGUUACAAAAGUUCCCAUAUUAUUCUGAGGGGCCAUAAACAUAGAGUUUAAACUUUAUUAAAAUAAAGGUAAAUGUUGAAUGCAUACCUGGUGCCCACAAAUCUGUCAGUAUAACUGCAGUUUUCUAAACUAUUGUUUGCAGCUGAGAAUUGUUUCCUAGACUGUACGUUCAGCUUUCCUCCUUGCAAGGGACAUUUGGUGGGGUGAUGACUAAGAGCUGGAUGACUGCCAAUUAUGAUGUACCUGUUCUAACUGCUUAAAUCUAUGCCAAGAAGUAAAGCUUUAUGCAGCAGC